rnacentral:rRNA from 1 species
CAGUCGCCGCGGUAAUACGUAGGGUGCGAGCGUUAAUCGGAAUUACUGGGCGUAAAGCGUGCGCAGGCGGUUUUGUAAGACAGGCGUGAAAUCCCCGGGCUCAACCUGGGAAUGGCGCUUGUGACUGCAAAGCUAGAGUGCGGCAGAGGGGGAUGGAAUUCCGCGUGUAGCAGUGAAAUGCCUAGAUAUGCGGAGGAACACCGAUGGCGAAGGCAAUCCCCUGGGCCUGCACUGACGCUCAUGCACGAAAGCGUGGGGAGCAAACAGGAUUAGAUACCCCCGUAGUCCCUGUCUCUUAUAC